rnacentral:rRNA from 1 species
AAAUUGAAGAGUUUGAUCAUGGCUCAGAUUGAACGCUGGCGGCAGGCCUAACACAUGCAAGUCGAACGGUAACAGGAAGAAGCUUGCUUCUUUGCUGACGAGUG